rnacentral:lncRNA from 1 species
UAAUUAAAUAAAAUAUUUAAAAAAAUUAUUUAUGUUAUAACAAAAAUUACAUGGAAUUGAUAAAAAAAUUCAAUGACCGGCCUGAUCGAAACGUCCCCCUGUUCCACAUCCAGGUGCGUUAGUCUGUCUUCGAGGUCUCCCACGAUUUUCCUGAGGUGUUUGGGAUCUUUGAGUGCUGACAUGACCCAGUGGUGGCUGGUGUGAAGGUUCGGUGAAAGGUCCAACGGUAUUUGAUAGAUGUGUCAUCAUUUGUUCCCAAUAGUCGGGGGGCUCUGGCCAACGGCGCUUUCGUAAUGGAGUUCGGUGCCCAUGUUAUCGUAGUUGGGUCGAUGUGGUUGGGUGAAUUGUGGACAAUAUAGUUGCCUGAAUUAGGAUAUUGAAUCAUUUUGGAAAUGAAGCAAUGGUUCCUGAGGUGUACUAUAGUUAAACAAUGGUUGGGUGUUUUGGUGAUGAGAUGUUUAGGUGAUCAUUGAAAGGGGGCUACGAUGAAGUGAACCGUAUGAAUCAUCUGACCUAUAGACUGUUGUGGUGGCUGCGUAUGAUUGUUGGUGGGUAGGGUUUGAUUCUUGGUUUUAAGGUUGGGUGUGUGGCAUGAAUGAGUUGUGAGGUUGGGUGUUUGGUUGUUGGGUGUAUGUGGUAGGGUGAUGGUGUGAAGUUGGUUGUUGGGUUUGGGUGGUUUGACAUUGGUGUUGGACGGGGACUUGUUGUUGGGCGUAUGAUGACGAAACUAGUUGGCGUGGAUCAAUCAAAUACCUUGGCUCAGACACAAAUUGUUGCGUUGUAACCGACCUAAACCAUACCAUAUAUUGUUGAGUAGGUCUAGCACCCUGUAUGACUGGUUCGCUUAAGAUGUGUUGUCGUCGAUUCCUCCAAUGACGAUACAUCUCUUUCACAUGGAACUAUCAGUUUAUUGUAAAGUUGAUAGAACUAAUGCAUUGAGGUAUAAAAUUUAUUGUAGAAACGAGCACUGCCUUUUCAGGUUGUCAGCUUCGUAUAGGAAGAUAAGUGAUUCUUGGGAGAUCGGAUCCAUGAACUCAAUGCAAGACCAUUGAAAACUUAGCUCUCAGUUAAUAUGCGAUGAAAUUUUGUUUGUCAUUAGCGACAAUCCUUCAUUAAAGGUGAGUACAAUAAUCUCGCAUAUUGUAGCACAAUACAAAUAUACCCCAUCAUAUAGGAAGACUUGGAUAGUUAGGACAAAGAUGGUUGAAAAAGUGUAUGGCAAUUGGGAGGAGUCUUAUAAACAACUUCCAAAAUACUUGUUGGCUCUUAAACAGUAUGCUCCAGGGACUAUUGUCAAGUUGGAAACGUUGUCGACGUAUACAUCGGACGAGACUUGUGCUAUUGGAAAUUGAAUAUUUCACCGUCUCUUUUGGACGUAUCAACCAUGCAUCAAAGGUUUUUCUUUUUGUAAAUCUAUUAUACAAAUUGAUGGUAUAUGGUUGUAUGGGAAAUAUAAAUGAACGUUACUGAUGGCAGUGGCACAAGAUGGCAACAUCAACAUUUUUCCAAUCGCCUUUGCCCUUGUUGAAGGGGAGACUGCUGAUGGAUGAAGUUUUUUCCUAAGAAAUCUCUGAUUCCACGUUGUUCAUCAAUCUAACUUAUGUUUGAUCUCCGAUCGACACCCUUCAAUAGUAAGUGCAUGCAACCGAUGAAAAAGAUUCAUGGGAGAAGUACAUAGAUUCAUUGGAGUUAUAUUCAUUUUAGAAUGUAGAAUACAAUUAUACACGUUUUCAUUGUAUGGAUUCAAGUUUAAGAUAAUAUCAUCUAUUAUGCUCUUUGUAAUUUGAUAUAUAUUCUGGCAUUCUGUUUCUUACUUUCGUUUACUAAUAGUAUACGAAACCAAUGUUUUAAAAUUGUGGCAUUCUAUUUCUUACUUUCGUUUAUUAAUAGUAUACGAAACCAAUGUUUUAAAACUCUGGCAUUCUAUUUCUUACUUUCGUUUACUAAUAGUAUGCGAAACCAAUGUUUUAAAGAUUCGGUCAAACUACAAAUAAUUAUGUUAUUGAUAGGAUCAAUGGAUCACUUUUCGGACACAUGAAUUUUAAUAAUGUAAAAAUAUAACUUUUUUUUUGAUAAUAUGAUUUUUUUUAAAAAACUUUUGUUAAUUUAAAAUAUUACUAUAUUAUAUAAUUAAUUGCCUAACAUUUUAAACUUAUUAUAUUUUUAUAUUGAAUGAUUAAUAAUAAGUUAAGUUUAAUGAAAAUUAUAAUGUUAUAAUUAUAGAAUAUAUAACUCUCUUCGCAUUAAUUAAAUUAAACAUCAAAGAGAUUCAUAGUGCAAUUGAUAAAAUUACAAUCCUAAUAAUUUUGAAAGGUUACAAGUCCGAUUCUUAAAAUUUGACAAAAUUUUAUUUUUAGAAUUUUAAUAUUAUUUAGUUAUUAAUAACAUAAUUAUAAAUAUUAAUAAAAUCAAAUUUAAAAACAAGAGCCCAAAUUUUAAGAAAAGUGAAAAUAUGAGAUAAAAAUUAUAAUUAAGCUAAAAAAUAAUAAACUUAAAAAGAUUAAUUUGCCGUAUCAAGAAACUCAUCGGUUCACUAGUUUGACUAGUGAACCGGUUGGAUCACACCGGUUUUCACCUGGUCAAUUACAGUUAUGGUUUAAUUGUUAUAAGUAAUUCAUAUUCAGAAGUAGUAUUGUUAAUCAGAAGCAGGAGCUUCUAAUGUGGUUGUUACAGAAGUAGUGUUUAGCUUUUAGUUGUAGUUGAUUUUAAGUUUUUCAUAAGGUGCAUUACUCAGCUAGCAUAGAUUAGCAUUUUGCCUACGUGUCAUUUUUGUUUGUGUAUAUAAAUCAAACGUGUAAUAGAAUUUCAUAAUGCAAUCAAUAGAGUUUCUCUCAAAAGUUAGUUAGAUAUCUCUCUCUCUCUCUCUCUCUCUCUCUCUCUCUCUCUCUCUCUCUCUCUCUCUAUAUAUAUAUAUAUAUAUAUAUCAAUCUUCAUCUUCAACCUUGUGCACCAAAAAUUGGUAUCUAGAGCUCCGAUUCGAUUCACAGGGAAACACGAGUGUAUUCUAUAUAUAUAUAUAUAUAUAUAUCAAUCUUCAUCUUCAACCUUGUGCACCAAAAAUUGGUAUCUAGAGCUCCGAUUCGAUUCACAGGGAAACACGAGUGUACGGUCAUGCGUGUGUGAUUGAUUUCAUUUCUUGAAUUCUGAAUUCAUGACCGGAAUCUUAACAGAAUCAUAUUUCUUGAAUUUGAGGGAUUGGGAAACACGAGUGUUUGGUGAGAUUUGUGUGAGUUUCAGUGCACAAAAUUGAAGAUGAACGGCGAAAAUGGUAGCUUGAAUACAAAGCUUCCAGUGUUUGAUUGAAAGAGUUGGAAUCAGUGGUGGAUUCAUAUGUGUGUGUUGUUUGGCGCUCAAGACAUUCUUGAUCUCGCCAACGACAAUUAUGUUCUGGUUGCGAAGGAUGUGAUAGAAGCACAAAGAAAUGUGUAAAUAGAAAUGAGGAAGAUAGAUUAAAAGGCGUUGUUCUAAAUCCAUUAGUGUAUGGAUGCGAACGUGUUUGAGAAAAUUGUUGAUUCGACGACGCCGAAAGCUGCGUGGGACACACUGGUACAGUGCUACAGCGGUGAUGCAUAAGUGAAGAAGGUAAAGCUUCAGUCUCUACGUAAACAGUAUGAGAAUCUCGACAUGAAGAGCAAUGAGCAGAUACCUGAUUAUAUCUCUAGAGUGAUUCUGAUCACCAAUGAAGUGAAAUCUUAUGGAGAAACUUUGUUAGAACAAGUAAUCUUUGAAAAGGUAAUGAGAUCUCUUACUCCUCAAUUUGAUUACAUUGUUGUAGCAAUUGAACAUUCUAAAUACCCCAUCACCAUAAGGAUUGAAGAGCUACAUAGCAGUUUAGAGGCACAAGAGUUGCGUCUGACUGUGAGAACCUCUGAAAGAGAGGUAGAGCAGGCUCUGAAGGCGUCUUGGUCAGAAGCUAAGAAGAGACACGGUGGUGGUUUUAGAAGUCAGAAGCCUCCAAUUCUGGUGAGAAGAAACAUCAUAAGGGAAAGGAGAAGUUUGACAAGAAGAAUGUUCAAUGUUACUGUUGUAAGAAGUUUGGCCACUUUGCUGCUGACUGUUGGUCAAACAAGGAAAGGAAAUCAAAAGAAACAAACAUAGUCAAAGAAGAUUCUGAUGAUGAACUUGUGUUAUUGAUGGCUUCUAAAUUUGAUGGUGCGUAUUUGGUAGACUAGUGGUAUAUGGACACUAGCUGCUCAAAUCACCUAUCUGGAAACAAACAAUGGCUGGUUGAUUUUGACUCCAAAAAUAUGAUAAAGAUCAGAUGUGCUGAUGAUAAAUACCUUAAUGCUGAAGGUAUGAGAAAUGUCAAAGUCAAGGUGAAGAAUGGUAAAAUUGUUCUGAUCAAGGAUGUUUGGUAUGUUCUUGGCAUGAAGAGCAAUCUUAAGAAUGUAAGUUAGCUCAUUGAGAAAUGUUUCUCAGUUACUAUGAAGAACAAUCUCUUGAAGUUGUAUGGUUCUGAUCAGAAUCUAAUUAUGCAAUCUAAGCAGGGAAGUAACAGAACAUUCAAGGCGAAUGUGGAGAAAACUGAAACUACAUUCCUUGGUGUAGAAGACACUAAAGGUGAGAGUGAGUUGUGGCACAAGAGAUUAGAGCAUCUUAAAUUUAGAAGCUUAUGGCAUAUGAAUUCUAAGAAGCUGGUAUAUGGCAUUCCCAAGAUUGUGAAGCCUGAGAAUUCAUGUGAGAUAUGCAUGAAAGGCAAGCAACCUAGAUUGUCAUUUGCAUCAGAAGUAGCCAUGAGAGAAAACAUGCUUUGGGAGUAGUACACUUUGAUGUUUGUGGAUCAUUUGAAGUACCUUCACUUGGAGGAAACAAAUAUUUUGUGUCAUUUGUGGAUGACUUUACAGUAAUUACAUGGGUAGCACUCAUCAAGUUUAAGCAUGAGAUGUUUGCUGAGUUUCAGAAGUUCAAGGUGAAGGCUGAAAAACAUAGUGGUCAGAAGUUGAAAGU